AGAGGUGGUAACAGGGGGCUGGGUUAGGGCGGUGAGGGCAGAGAUUAUGGACGGCAAAUCGGCCGCGGGAGGGAGGGAUAACGAGGUAGAGGGGGCCGGGACUUCGGGAGGAGGAGGUAACACUGGAGGAGAGGUGGUAACAGGGGGCUGGGUUAGGGCGGUGAGGGCAGAGAUUAGGGACGGCAAAUCGGCCGCGGGAGGGAGGGAUAACGAGGUAGAGGGGGCUGGGACUUCGGGAGGAGGAGGUAACACUGGAGGAGAGGUGGUAACAGGGGGCUGGGUUAGGGCGGUGAG